UACAGGGGGUGCAAACGUUGGCUCGGAAUCAUUGGGCGUAAAGCGCACGUAGGCGGUCUGUUAUGUCGGAUGUGAAAGCCCUUGGCUUAACUGAGGAAGUGCAUCCGAAACUGGCAGGCUAGAGUACUAAAGAGGGUCGCGGAAUUCCCGGUGUAGAGGUGGAAAUUCGUAGAUAUCGGGAGGAACACCGGUGGCGAAGG
rnacentral:rRNA from 1 species